rnacentral:rRNA from 1 species
UACGGAGGGUGCGAGCGUUAAUCGGAAUUACUGGGCGUAAAGGGUGCGUAGGUGGUUUAGUAAGUUAUCUGUGAAAUUCCUGGGCUCAACCUGGGCAGGUCAGAUAAAACUGUUAGACUCGAGUAUGGGAGAGGGUAGUGGAAUUUCCGGUGUAGCGGUGAAAUGCGUAGAGAUCGGAAGGAACACCAGUGGCGAAGGCGGCUACCUGGCCUAAUACUGACACUGAGGCACGAAAGCGUGGGGAGCAAACAGG